rnacentral:lncRNA from 1 species
GCCAAUCCUGCAAUGGCGUGGUUAGAGAAGCCAAACCUGUUAAGCAGGAAAACAUGGCUGCUUGGCUUGUUGAUGUUAACACCAUUAAGAUCAUGCCUUUCAAGCUCCCCACUAUCGGUAUUAAUCUGUCUUCUUUUUUUGAAUUUAGUCGUUGUUCCUUUCAAAUUUCAGUUUUUAAGUUUCCGUGCUCUCUGUUGUAUUAGCUAACAUGUUGCUCCCUAUUUUGUUGGGAUUUCUUUAUUUUAGGACCGAACGACGUUCGAAUUCGGAUAAAGGCCGUUGGCAUUUGCGGAAGUGACGUCCACUACCUCAAGACAAUGAAAUGUGCGGAUUUUGAGGUUAAAGAGCCAAUGGUGAUCGGACACGAGUGUGCUGGGAUCGUAGACAAAGUUGGGAGCGAGGUGAAGCAUCUGGUGCCUGGUGAUCGCGUGGCGGUUGAGCCCGGCAUCAGCUGUGCACGGUGCCAGCAGUGCAAAGGAGGCCGCUACAAUCUAUGCCCCGACAUGAAGUUUUUCGCCACCCCACCUGUUCAUGGUUCAUUGGCGAAUCAGAUUGUGCACCCCGCGGAUUUGUGCUUUAAAUUGCCGGAAAAUGUGAGCUUGGAGGAAGGGGCAAUGUGUGAGCCCUUGAGUGUUGGGGUUCAUGCUUGUCGGCGAGCCAAUGUUGGCCCCGAAACAACUGUUCUGAUCAUCGGAGCAGGGCCUAUUGGUCUGGUUUCAGUUUUGGCCGCUCGUGCUUUUGGGGCACCAAGAAUUGUCAUUGUCGAUAUGGAUGACAAGCGUUUAGCCAUGGCAAAGUCUCUCGGCGCUGAUGGCACCGUCAAAGUUUCAACGAAAAUGGAGGAUUUAGAUGGCGAAGUUGCCAAGAUUAAAGAAGCCAUGGAAUCCGAGGUGGAUGUGACCUUUGAUUGUGUGGGUUUCAAUAAAACCAUGUCCACAGGUCUCAACGCCACUCGUCCCGGCGGCAAAGUCUGCCUUGUCGGAAUGGGACACGGCAUGAUGACAGUGCCUCUCACUCCUGCUGCUGCUAGAGAGGUUGAUGUUGUUGGGGUUUUCCGAUACAAGAACACAUGGCCGCUUUGCCUCGAAUUUUUGAGAAGUGGGAAGAUCGAUGUGAAGCCGCUUAUUACACACCGGUAUGGAUUUACAGAGAAGGAGGUGGAAGAAGCCUUUGCAACAAGUGCUCGUGGGGGCAACGCCAUCAAAGUCAUGUUUAAUUUGUAAAGACAGCUACAUGUUUUGGUUAACGAAUUCUUAUUAGAAUGUAGAGAAAGGGAGAGGGGGAUUAUUUGCAUGUCAUAACUCAAUAAGCAAAGUUCCAUGUUUUUUUUAAUCUGUUACGAUGAAGCUUAAUAGAAACCGCUUACUCAUUUACCAAGAGCGAGAAAUUCCAGGGUUAUUGCCCAAGAAGGGUGGCUAUUGAACCAAAAUGCCACGGUUGGUGAGCCGCGGGUCACAACAUUCGUUGCCAUAACCGAACUGUAGGAAAGAGCACGAAAAGAAUGGUCUUUUCGGUACUCUACUUGAAUCAAACUUUUUAAACUGAAAAAUAAUUUUUAAAGUUUUAGGCCUUAAAAACUUAUUUAGUAGGACUAUUUUAAAAAACUGAACUUAAGUUCUCUAAAAACAUAAAAAGUGAGUUUUUAGAGUUUUUAAACUUAAACUCACUCAUUUCUUUUUUCUUCCUCCCCUCUCACUCCAAAUCUAUCUCUAUCUCUUUUCUUCUUCUAUCUCCUCUGUUUUUUUUAUACAUUUUUCGUCUCUCCUCUAAUUCGCUCUCUUCAUUCUCUCGGUUCUUUCUCUCACUGUUUUUCCUCUCUAUCUCGUCUGAUCCUCUCACUUCUUUCUCUUUCCUUCUAUCAUCUCUUACUUUCUUUCCUUCUCUCUCCUCUUACUCCCUCUCUUGCGACUCCCUCUCUUGCGGCCCCCUCUUUUUAGAUCUCUUUGUUUAAUUUAAGUCGUAAGAUUUAAAAAUUUUAAAUCACAAACCAAUCAAGUUUUUAAGUGUUAAAGAAAAUUGUUUUUAAGAAAUGUUCUUAAGAAAUGUUUUGAAAAAUGAUAAAAAAAAAAUUACAAAUAAGAUACCAAACAAACCCGAAUAUUCUUCAAGGUUUUGAUUGAAUAAUAUGAAAGACAACGCCAUAUCACCAGGGAAAAAAUGGUUAUAUAGUUUACCUAAAACCAAGACUUGCUAGGAAUCCUAUGUGAAACUUGCGAGAAAAAUAACAAAACUACAUAAUAUCCUCAAAACUAAAAAUCCAAAUUUGACAUAGCAAACAAAGGAAUUUAACCUAUAAAACCCAUAGAUCACAAAUUAUCAGUGAGUUUGACACGUGACACCGUUUUCGAAGAGAAAACAUAUUACGGGCCUAAAUCCGAGUUGAGAGCCCAAACCUAUGUUGUGUGGACCUUGAUGUUCUAUUUAGGCUUAUCAAGUUGAUCUUCGAUGUUGGAACUAAAUUCGAGCAUAUCUGCGGACGAAGACAGUGUUCAAUCGGAAUGACCCAUGAACUCCGUAGAAGGGUGAAUGGGGUUGAUUAUGGGUGUGAUUGAUUCCAUAUCGGAUUGCCUACAUAUCUCUGGGAUUAUCAAAUCACUAUUAUUGUUGAAGAAAUGAGUAUCUAUGAUGUGUACGACAUCAAAACACAUCAUUGACGAAGGUGCCUUGGCUUAGGUGCGUAAGAGAUGUUUUUCCAUGUCUACGCGUAGACGAAGGUGAGCAAGAGAUGUCUUUCCAUGUCUACGCCUGAGAGAAUAUGUGCGGAAAGAAUGUGUGUUAUAGCUAUUAGAUGAUCAGAGAGAAGUCCCAAAUAAAUACACAGGGUAAGAUAUUUAUGAGAUAUUGAGGGAGCAAUCCCUAUUUAACAGAAGAGACUAUAUAGGAGGAAAUCUAGGAUAAGAUAUUCAGUUAUCCUAAUAUUAUGAUUACAUUGCAUAAUCCACAAGAUAUCCUUAUUUGACUUGAAUUAGGGUUUCCUUACUUUGGAGACAAGUAAUAUAUUUAACGGGCUUAGAGCUAAUGGAGUUGUGAAGGAUUACCUUAUCAUGUGGUAGUCUGAUCCGGAAUACCCCGUGUAGCUAUGAUCUCACUUUGAGGACUUUCGAGUCAUUCUAACCACCCUUGUCUCAUGAGCCUAGAAAAAUCAUGAUCCCACGUUCAAGUUAUUCUGCCAUCUAUUGUAUCCAAUAUCAUGUCGUUCGAAAUCAAUCCUUUUUUUUGUCUCUAUCUGUGCUCUUAGCAUCGGUUUAGCCACACUGCUAUUGCUAUAUGGGAAUCAUGAAUCAUUCUUUAGUGCUAGCACUAAGUAAGCAAUUUUACAUCUCCCUAUGAUCGAGUAAUCAAACUACCUCUCUCUCUUCCUCAACAAGAUCUAGGCUUCGCUUGUCCUGAUCCUUAACUAAUUUCAAAACUAGAAUUGCUUCUUUUAAAUUUUGAAUUUGAGUUUUAAUUUUUUAAUUUCUUUUAAAACUCAAAAUAAUUAACAACCAAACCAAACCAAACGACUUCAGAUAUACAAAAAAAAAUUGAUUAGUAAAAUCUUCUUCGAUUCUCAUGGUAUUCCUCUUCACUUGGAAGUGAGACGUCUUAUAUUCGAAUAUCGUAGAUGACGAAUUCAAUACCAAAUUAGAUUGCUCAUUGUGUGGCUUAGCCAAACUCCUCAUUUCCUUAAUGUAAAAAUAUCGAUGUAUUAAAAAAAAAACUUCUUCGAUUCAAUUUUUACCGUAAGUACAUCGAAUCGGGGAUCGAUUUGAGGAGAAAGACGGAACGCGAGACAGAAGCUGUGGCUGGUGUGGUGGCUUAUGGUGCCGUAUGGUGGGCGGGGGAGCCUCAUUAGCGACAGUUGUUGCGUUGGCGUAUGUUAUUAUGAUUUCUGGGAUACAAUUGUUGACGGCCUCUUUGACUUUCAUGCUGGACUUGAAUUGAUAAACUUCACAAGCUGAUGCUGCACUUCAAAGAAACUUCGUCAUCUUUCAUGCGCCAGAAAAUUAGGGUUGCAAACAGAAGAACCCAGUUGACCGUUUAUUUUGUUUUCUGGUAUAUUAUCCGACGGUUAUUAGUUUAAGAGUUGGUCGGUAGGGUGUUGACAUUGCCAUUGCAAAAUUUUGGGAGAAAUAUUUUAGUAAUUUGACUAUAUUGAUUUUAUUAAUCAGUCUUUUGCCGACAAAAAAUUAGAUAAAUAAAUCAUACAUUUAUUUCAUUGGCUAAAACAAUUAUUAUUUUAUUUUUUUAACCAAAAUGGUUCAUAAGAUUGGCAUAACUUAUGUAUGGUCAUUGAGAUUGAAAAUCGAUAGAAGUGGUAACUAAAUUUGUCCACGGUCUAUUAUUUUGGUCAUUAUGUGAAUUUGAGAGUGUUUUUGUCCAGUCAACACCUCUACUUGUUUUUUCAUUUAGCAGAGAUUUUUUACGGAAUGACAAAAUGAUUGACAGUCUACAAACCAAAGCGCAAUUUCUAUCGAUUUUCAAUCUGAAUUACCAAAGUGAAGAGUUAUGUUAAUCUCAUAGAUUAUUUUGAUUAAAAAAAUUAAUAGUUCUCUAAUUCGAUAUUAUCUACACUACGAGUGGGAGAUUUAGUUAAAUCUCAUAAUGGACUAGUCAUAUUUCGAUAUUCUACACAAACGAGUGAGGAAGUGUACUAAACCUCACAACAAGUUAGUCAUAAUAAUUCAACAAAAUUUAACAUAACACAUUUUUCUUACAAAUGAAAACAAAUACAAAUAAACUGUAGUUCUAAGCAAUGGCUGGUACAAAUAUUUGUGAUAACCUAAUCAACAAAUAAGACUUUCUUUUACCAAAAAAAAAAAAAAAAAAACAAGUAAGACUUUCCUUCCAAAGAAGAAAAAAGGAAUAUUCGAUCUGAUUCCAUAUCAAGAUUCAUGGGGGUAAUUACGCGAAAUAUGUUUCCUGAUGGGGUUACAACGCUAAUCUUAAUUAAGCUCGAAAUUACUCAACUACCUACCCCAACUUGAAUCGACGUGGGACCCAACUGAUGGAUAAAGAGGACGAAUCCACGUCAAUCUGACUCUGCAUGCCGUGGAAUCGAUUCAGCAGUCCCCUCACAUCCGUUGAUUCUAAUGUAGGUGGUCCCUACACCAACACCAUCGCGCAUCUUGCACUCCACUUGAUAUUCGGCUGGUUUAGUAGUUGACAUUGUGUUUAAAUGAUAUUUCUCUUCGUAAUAAUUGUAAAAAAGAAGUUUUAAAUUGAACUUGCAUCGUUGAUGAGGCGAAUUUAAAAAUAGAUUUAUUUUAUAAAUAAAAAAUUUGACUGCUUUCAAGUUCCAAAAAGCUAGGCGAAAAUUUAUCUCGAAUGUUAUUUUGUGGUUGAAAAAAUAUAAACUGGUUAGGCUUCCAAAAUCGAGAAGGGCGUUCAUGGCACACAAUAACGGUUGUUGUUUAAAAUAUCAAUAUAUCGAUGUCAGUUAUCUUUGAUAGAAUUCAUGGUAAUUUAUAAUGCGAUGAGUGUUUAAACUUAUUCUUAUUUAGUCAAAAUUAGAGAAAAUUUUCUUUAAAAGUUCAAAAGUUUUAAAUCUGUAAUGGGUUCCGGUAAAAUUUAUGUACUGAAUCAUAUAUCUCGCUGAUAUAUAGUUAGGCAUUUCACUUUCUCUUUCCAUAUUGAUCCUAAUUUUUCGAAUAAGCUGCAUAUGAAGCCAAUUUAGGAAUGACAUUUGAGAUGCACAAAGUAGUUUCUCUCAAGAGGAGAUACCAAUCCCAAUUCAAACAAGAGACGCAUGUAUCCAAAAGUGUGUUUGUAACUAAUGGGAAUAUUCUUGAGAACAAAUCGCUCCGUCCAAAUCCAAAUUCUUGGGGUGUGACAUUCAUACCAUCACGUUAUACUAUUAAUUUAUGGAUUAUAACAUGCGUAGAUGACAUAAUUAUGAUAAAUAUACACGUAUUAUGAUAAGAAUGAAUUAAUUUCUCCACGUAAUAAUGUGACAAUUACAAUGAAAAUUUCCUAUAAUUAUCCAAAAUACACGUUAAAUGAUAAAUAUAUACACGUGUUAUGAUAAGAAUGAAUUAAUUUCUCAAUGUAACAAUGACAUUCACGAGGAAAGAUUUCAGAAUAAUUCAAGAUGCACGUUAAAUUAGGUUCCCCAGGACACGGCUGUGACAACCACUACUUGGCCAUGUGAGAUAGAUUCUAUAAACUUACAGCAGGUGAUCUUGCAGCUUCACAGGCUUCCUAAACUAAUAUAAAUACCACCCCGUAGCCACUCUAUUUUCAUCAAGAAAUCAAACAAGUCCGUUCAUUCCGUUUAUCCGUGCCUUUUGUAUUAUCUGUGUCUAUUUUGUUAGGAGAAGUAGUAGUUUGUGCCUUAGAAACACACUUUAGAAAAAACAGAGAGUAAAAAAUGGGUAAGGGAGGCCAAUCCUGCAAUGGCGUGGUUAGAGACGCCAAACCUGUUGAGCAGGAAAACAUGGCUGUCUGGCUAGUUGAUGUUAACACCAUCAAGAUCCUACCUUUCAAGCUCCCCGCUAUUGGUAUGUACUUAUCUCCCUACUUUUAUUUUCAUCGCUAGUUUUUUUUUUCGGUUUUUGAUUAUCAGUUUUCAAGUUUCGUUGAAGUAUUGGCUAACAUCUUGCUCUCCUGUUUAUUGGGAUUUCUUAAUUUUAGGACCGAAUGAUGUUCGAAUUCGGAUUAAGGCUGUUGGCAUUUGCGGAAGUGAUAUUCACUACCUCAAGACCAUGAAAUGUGGGGAUUUUCAGGUUAAGGAUCCGAUGGUGAUCGGACAUGAGUGUGCUGGGAUCGUAGACAAAGUUGGGAGCGAGGUGAAGCAUCUGGUGCCUGGUGACCGUGUGGCUGUUGAGCCCGGCAUCAGCUGCGCACAUUGCCAGCAGUGCAAAGGCGGCCGCUACAAUCUAUGCCCUGACAUGAAGUUUUUCGCCACCCCACCUGUUCAUGGUUCAUUGGCGAAUCAGAUUGUGCACCCCGCGGAUCUGUGCUUUAAAUUGCCGGAAAAUGUGAGCUUGGAAGAAGGGGCAAUGUGUGAGCCCUUGAGUGUUGGGGUUCACGCUUGUCGGCGAGCCAAUGUUGGUCCCGAAACAACUGUUCUGAUCGUCGGCGCAGGGCCGAUCGGGCUGGUUUCCGUGCUGGCUGCUCGUGCUUUCGGAGCACCAAGAAUUGUCAUCGUAGAUAUGGAUGACAGGCGUUUAGCCAUGGCAAAGUCUCUCGGCGCCGAUGGCACGGUCAAAGUUUCGACAAAAAUGGAGGAUUUAGAUGACGAAGUUGCCAAGAUUAAAGAAGCUAUGGGAUCCGAAGUUGAUGUGACCUUCGACUGUGUUGGCUUCAACAAAACCAUGUCUACGGGCCUCAAUGCCACUCGUCCUGGCGGCAAAGUUUGCCUUGUCGGAAUGGGACACGGGGUGAUGACGGUCCCUCUCACUCCGGCUGCUGCCAGGGAGGUUGACGUGGUUGGAGUUUUUCGUUACAAGAACACAUGGCCGCUUUGCCUAGAGUUUUUGAGAAGCGGGAAGAUCGACGUGAAGCCGCUUAUUACCCACCGGUUUGGUUUUACCGAGAAGGAGGUGGAAGAAGCUUUUGCAACCAGUGCUCGGGGGGGCAACGCCAUUAAAGUCAUGUUUACUCUAUAGCAAAUCAACCAUGAAGUUGCAGAAUUUCGGAUUGUUUGAGGGGGCAAGUUUGUGAUGGUUUGGAAAUUUGGAAGUCAUCAUCUCGGAUGAAGAAUGUUCUUGUUCUAAAGUUCGUGGAAACUUGUUGUACAGGGACCAUUGUAUACCUUUAUUAGAUCUCGGCAUGCACCAGUGUAGUAGCUUCCCGUAUUUUUAACAUGAGUCCGUCAAUAUAUAUGAACUAUGUAUGUAACUAAAAGUUCUUCAAUAUAAGUCUUUUUUUCCGCUGAAGUUGUUUUCAUUUGACACGAGUCUGUUGGCCUUGCUUCAGUUCCUUUGGACCAUCGAAGAGAGUACUAGACACAUCGUGAUGGAGAAAUAUAGACGUACUUCUAUUAGUGUAGAAAAUAUAUACCUUGAGUUACUGUUGUUCCAAUAGCAUUUCUUGCUGCAGUAGCGUAUGGUAGAGCAGUUUAUGAAUAUCUACGCGGUGGAUUUGAUUUUACCAAAGAUGAUGAGAAUGUUAAUUCCUAACAAUUUUACAAAUUAUCACAAACCCAACUUAUUAAGUUAGAGAAAUUGGUCACAAGAUGAACAUUCUUUAUCACUUAAAUUGCAAGUUACUCUUUCCUCUCUCUUUUUCACCCUAAGGCAUUUUCUUUUCACCCUAAAGUUGUAAACCUAAUACUUUUGUGUUAACGAUGGUUGUCCAAAUACUACUUUUGAGGGUUAAUAGAAUCUAAUAUUUCUUUUCUAAAACGAAAAAUAGUUAAAGAGCAAAGCAUUUAGAGCAAUUCCACCCCUAAGACUUUACGCCAGCACCCAGCGCAUUUAUCCACUCAAGUGAACAGUAAUAAACCCCAGUGAAUAGUAAUAGGUCAAAGCAUCUCCACCCCUAAAAAAAUGCGCUGGCACCCAGUCUAAAAAUGUGUUGGCACAAACGAUCUUCAGCCUUACAAAAUGCGUUGGCACCCAGCCCAUUUAAAAUUUUUUAAAUUUUUUUAUAAAAGAAUAAAUAAAUAAAAUAGUUUUAAUUUCGGAUAAGAUUUUUUAACCAAUCUUGUAACGCCAUGUGUCAUUAUCCGAACGUACUAUUUUGUGAAUAGAUUUCCUCUAAGAUUUGCAACCAAUCCCGAUGCGCCACGUGUCACUAUCUUCUUUUUUUUAAGUUUAUAUGGUGAGGUUAUGUAAUUUUAUGUGGUGUUUUUUUUUUUUGUAAAGUUUAUUUGGUGAGUUUAAUGUAAUCUUAUUUGGUGAGUUUAUGUAAUCUUAUUUGAUGUGUUUAAAUAAAGUACAAAAAAUAAAUUUGAAAUUACAUAAAGUUCUAAAAAUAAAUAAGAAAUUACAUUAAAAAUUACAUAAGAAAUUAAAUAAAGUACUACAAAGAAAUACGAAAUUAUACAAAGUCAGUGGAGCUAGGAUAUGUGGUGCUAGGAUCUUCGUUGCUAGGAUUUCUGUAGCUAGAACCCCUCGACUUGUUUCCGGUAUCAGGGUCAUGAGUAGUGUGAACCCAACAUUCACACAACGUAACAUCUUCAAUGUUCUUCCACGAAGAAAUUUUUUUCUCUCAAAGUGUAGAAAAUAUUGAAAUGUAGAUAGUGUAGAAAGUGUGGAAAAUAUUGAAAUGUGGUGUAAGGUGGAAGAUGAGGGUUAUGUAUUUAUAGAAAAAUAAUAAUUAUUUUUUUGUAUUUUUUUAUAAUUUUUAAUAAAUUUUAAUGUAGCUAAUUAAUCUGGGCCGUUGGAUUUGAAAAAUAUUCAAAUCCAAUAGCCUAUAAGGUGCCACGUGGCCAACGGUCAUAAUUCUGUGGGUUGAAAAACGUGGACCGUUGAUCUGUAAUCGAACGGUCCAGAUCAAAAUUAUAAUUCAAAUUUUUUUGACCGUUGGAAAUCCAACGACAUAUAGUGGGCCACGUCGCAAGCUCGGGUGACAAUUGAGUGCGCCUGUCAGCGGGCCCCGUCGCUGAAUUGAUGUCUGCUACUCGCGCCCACUCGAGCGUGAGUGCCAUGCGCCAGGCGCAAAAAAGAAAAUGGGCCUGUCCCUGGGUCAGUCAAUUUUAGCAUGGCCUGGAGACUAGCAUGGGCUGGGUGCCAGUCUAUUUCACGGGGACAGACCCCUAGCUUGGUUUUUUAACUGGGUGCCAGCACAUUCGCCCUCCGGUGGAAGUGCUCUUAUGUACAAACGAAGUCUAAAAAUAAUGCAUACCUAGCACAACUAGAAAUCUAAGAAUGAUCACUUAGUGUCUUUAGUGAGUCAAAAUAUUUGCAACAAAGUUCGGCUCACUCCAAACACGAAUGGACUCAAAGCCUUUUGGCUUGUAGAACACAUGUAUGAAGUGUUGAGGCUUCAUCGAUUGGGGCGAAGUGUGAGCCCUUGAGUCUUUUCGGCCUCCGAAAUAAUGGAAUGUUUUAACUUGACCAGCAACUGGUCCCUUUUUUUAUUUAAGAAAAUGUGAGUUUCAAUUAAUUUUAUAAACAAUUUUAAAUGUUAAACUCAUUAGUACUUGUGGCAAUGACUUGAUUACAUGUUAGCGAAAAGUAGCUCACAUAGAUGACAUGUUAUAAAAGUUAGUAGCGUAUUUGGCGAAAGUAACGAAACAAGAUAAAGUGAGACAUAAAAAUUGAGUUAGUAGAGUUAGAGCUAAGUGACACGAAAAUGAGUUUAUAGUGACAUAGUGAGUUUCACUCAUAGUUUAGGAGAUAUCAAAUUAAACGAUCAAUAUUUUCACCUUUUUAAAUUACAAGAACCCUAAUUAUAUUCUACAAAUUAAACAUUAACCCUUACAAUUUUUAUUUGGACUAACUAGUUGCCAAACCACAAAGAUCCGGCCCAAAUCCCGUCCAUCUAAUCGCCUCACGCCAAACUUGAACUUCACUUCCUCCCACUAUGAUCUCUUAUAUACAUAUUUUAGGGAACUUGUAGAGAAUCGACAAAAAUGUAUUUUCAUGUAGCCUUGCUUAGCCAAUAUGCUCAUCACUGAGCUAUCCAAUAUAUCGCCGACAUUGAUGCAUCGACAAUAUUGACAAAGACCGUCUGUGAUCUUUGGGAGAGACAAUCAACUUGUUCUUUGUUAAUAUCGUCGAUGUGUUGAUAUUCCUUGUCAGUAUUUUCAAAAUGGUAAUGAGUUCUAUUGAUGUUCAAAAUGGUAAUAAGUUCUAUUGAUGUUGUUGAUAUUUUCACUUGAGAAAUGUUAAGAAGAUUUAAAAAAAAAAACGAAACUCUUUAUGAACUAUUUGCCACAUUAUACUUUUGUCACAAUGUUUUAUAAUGUUGGCAUUGAAAUUAACAUUAAACAGUGAUGUGGUAGAAAGUCCACAGAGAGUCUCACUUUGUGAGAGUCUCUUUAGCAUUUAUCUUUUUACUAUAUUGAGUUUAAGUGGUGGAUUCUCUUGAUGGUUAGGGUAUUUCUCUUCAACCCAUUAUAUUAUCCGGUCAAAAAUCCUAUCAUUUUGGAGUAAAUUAGUGUAGAACAUCAUUUGUAUGUUGCAUAUAUGAAAAAAAAAAAUAUUUGCUCACCGCCCUCACAUAAUGAUAAUACUCACCAACAUAAUUCGAGAUAUAUAUACUAGAUAUAACUUUCAAAAUUUAAGUUUAUCCAACAAAGAUAAAUAUUAUCAGCACUUGAGGGCCACGAUAAAAAAUACACCCAUACGAAAAGACGGUGUAAAUGAGAGGAGAGAUUUUGUAAGAGGGGCCACUAAAACAAAUUUUCCAAUAUAUUAUGCUUCAUACGCGUGUGUCUAACUGUACACCUUGUACGUGGCACCUCAUUAUCCAUUGUUGAUGUACCACGGCUCCCUUGUACAUAUUUUAGGGAACUUGUAGAGAAUCGACAAAAAUGUAUUUUCAUGUAGCCUUGCUUAGCCAAUAUGCUCAUCACUGAGCUAUCCAAUAUAUCGCCGACAUUGAUGCAUCGACAAUAUUGACAAAGACCGUCUGUGAUCUUUGGGAGAGACAAUCAACUUGUUCUUUGUUAAUAUCGUUGAUGUGUUGAUAUUCAUUGUCAGUAUUUUCAAAAUGGUAAUAAGUUCUAUUGAUGUUCAAAAUGGUAAUAAGUUCUAUUGAUGUUCAAAAUGGUAAUAAGUUUCUAUUGAUGCUGUUGAUAUUUUUACAUGAGAAAUGUUAAGGAGAUUUAAAAAAAAAACGAAACUCUUUAUGAAUUCUUUGUCAUAUCAUACUUUUGUCACAAUGUUUUAUAAUGUUGGCAUUGAAAUUAACAUUAAACAGUGAUAUGGCAGAAAGUUCACAGAGAGUCUCACUUUGUAAGAGUCUCUUUAGCAUUUCUCUUUUCACUAUAUUGAGUUUAAGUGGUGGAUUCUCUUGAUGGUUAGGAUAUUUCUCUUCAACCCAUUAUAUUAUCCGGUCAAAAAUCCUAUCAUUUUGGAGUAAAGUAGUGUAGAACAUCAUUUGUAGGUUGCAUAUAUGAAAAAAAAAAAAUUUGCUCACUGCCCUCACAUAAUGAUAAUACUCACCAACAUAAUUCGAGAUAUAUAUACUAGAUAUAACUUUUAAAAUUUAAGUUUAUCCAACGAAGAUAAAUAUUAUCAACACUUGAGGGCCACGAUAAAAAAUACACCCAUAUGCAAAGACGGUGAAAAUGAGAGGAAUGAUUUUGUAAGAGGGGCCACUAAAACAAAUUUUCCAAUAUAUUAUGCUUCAUACGCGUGUGUCUAACCGUACACAUUGUACGUGGCACCUCAUUAUCCAUUGUUGAUGUACCACGGCUCCCUUGACUUUAUCAUGCACAUUAAAGCAAGAAACUUCAGGAGGGUUGCAACUCACCGGUCACCGAAUUCGAUCCCACAUAUUUCUGACGCGGGAAUUAGUCAGUCGUCACCUACCUUGGACGCGUGCCAGAAACCCUAAGGCUUGCUGGCAACACAGAGAGCACAUCUCGUGUUUAAGCCUGGCUACACAGGGACCAACCAACUGUUACUAAAUAAUUAGGUUUUUGGUCGGUUUUUGUUGGUUGAUAAUGGAUGGUGGGAGUCAUUACUGCACAGAAUGGCUAAUAGAUUAUGCUAACCGACCAAAAAUAUAUUUAAUUCAGGCGUUAAAGGAAUCCCAUGAAAAGUAACAAAAGAAAAAGAUAACUUCUAAAACAAGAUUAUUAUUAUUAUUUUAAUUUACUAUUAUUAAGAGGAGGGGGAGAUUUUUUUUUUUAUCUUUUGGGGAAGAUAUUGAAACGACUAAUUACAUUAAUUUAGAGAACAUGAGAGUUUUUAAUCCUGAGCUAUAUAUGUAUAUAAACUCAACGCUCUAUCAAUUAGAAUAUUGAAUCACAUAAAAGAAAUAAAAUGAUAAUUUUGGCCCCUUACUCAAAUUUUUAGCCACAUCUCUCACCUACUUGAUCCAAAAAGAAAAAAAGCAUUAUUGCGUGCUUACCUGCUUGUUAGCUCUACCGACUCGUUCGAGCAGAUUAUAGUCAGGUAUUUUGGGGAUGCCAAGGCUAGGGUUUACUCGGAUACUAAGGUAGAUGAAAAUAAUGCCCAACAACAAUUAAAAUGGUGUUAGGAAUGUUGAAUAGGACCACAUAACCAGGACGUUAAAAUGAUAGUAUCAUGUGUUAUUAAGUGUUUUUUAUAAUACUGUCGUUUUGUCCUAUUACCAUGUAAUUUAAUUUUUCAGUUUGCUUCCGUUCAACUAUAAUGUUACCUUCUUUUUUUUUCCUGUCGACAAUUUUGUUUACUCCAAAGUUAUGAAGUCAAGGGAAGGAAGCCCUUGACAUAAUCUCCAAAAUUAUUUGAAUCUCUAAGUAUUUGCUGUAAGGAUAAUUAAACUGUUUGGAAUAAACUGAAGGAGGACAGCAUAUUCCAGAUUCCACUUUGAGUAAACCUAAACCUAACAUGGGCAUGACUAACAGCAAAACCGUGUACAUAGUACAUACUCAAACUUAGAUCGUCAAACUUAAAUAUUGUUACAACUGUCUUGAUUUGGAUAACGUUUGAUAAUCUCACUUUCAGCGUCCAAAUAUUUGGAUAAUCCAAUUGGAAAAUUCCUGCUAGCAGCUUAGGAAAAUGGAUGCACCGUCCAAGACUAAUGGAGGACGGCAUGUGGUAGAAGCUUUUCUACGCUAAGUGUGGAUUAGACUUGUUAAUUGUGGAUAACGCUAGAAUUCCGGCGAAAUUCAGUGUCAAACAUGUGGGGCUGGGGUGGGGGAUGGUGGUGGUGGUUUGUUCAUUGCUUUAAACCUAGUCAUAGAAAAAUGUGUAAAGUGACUAUUAUUUUAUUUUAUACAAACAACUUUAGAGAAAGGGGAUUGAAAACACAUGAGUUUGAGUACAUAGAAAAUGCUUUAAUCACGAUUACAAAAAAAAAUGCUUUAAUCACUCAAGUUACCAGAUCUCGGUUAUAAUAUGAGUUGAUUCUGUUUAGAAUUGAUGCUGAUUUGCAGUUUAUGUGAUCGUUAACUAUGAAGAGGGAUUGAAACACACAUAAAUGUUUUAAUCACUAAAGUUACAAUAUUUUGAUUAUACUCUGAGUUGAUUAUGUUGAGAAUUAAGGCUGAUUUACAAUUUAUAUGAUCCUUAAUUACGAAGAAAAACUUGUGUUUGACUAACCAUAAACGACCUAAAAGAUUAAUAAGUGAGACAAAUUGUUAGGAUCACAUAUAGCUCUCUAUGCGUCCGGUGGAUCAUGGUUGCACUUGUAGGUUUCUUGAUACACCCCCUCUCCCAAUCUGUCAUCGCUAGUCUUCUUGAUGACAUAUAAAGGGCUGUUUGGAAAACAGUAUUAAAAAUGGAGUGCUAUGCAGAAAAGCACUCUUGGUAAUUAUAUAAAACGAAACUUUUCAAUUUUUUUGACUUAUCUAGCAUAUGUGUCAACAAUUUGUAAGAAUGUGAAAGUACUCCUUCUGGGAAACAUCCAGGCAAUGUCCCACAAUUAAAUACAUUUAUUAAUUUCUAAAAAUAAUUAGAUAAUGUUCCAGGGUUGGCUUAUCCAACUUACAAACCAACUUUACCAAAUCAGACUCUCAAGUUUGCUAUAAAUACCACACCCUAGCCAAGCUUGCUCCAUCAAAAAACACAACUAUUCUGUCUUUCAAACACAGAAGACACAGAGCAAACAGCGAAAGCAAUACACUUCAGAAAGAAAAAAAACAGAGAGCAAGUAUCAAAAGCAUUAUGGGUAAGGGUGGGCAAAAGAUUUAUGGAUUGGCUAAGAAAGCCAAACCUGUUCAGCAAGAAAACAUGGCUGCUUAUCUUGUUGAUGUCAACACCAUCAAGAUCCUACCUUUCAAGCUCCCCAGUAUCGGUAUUUACUUCUCUCCCUUCUUUUAAAUUCAUCGUUAUUUUUUUUCGGUUUUUUGGUUUUCACCGUUGUAGUGAUGCUAACAUGCUGCUCCCCUGUUCUCUUGGGAUUUCUUAAUUUUAGGACCCAAUGAUGUCCGGAUUCGGAUUAAGGCGGUUGGUAUUUGUGGAAGUGAUGUUCACUAC